rnacentral:rRNA from 1 species
CAGCAGUGGGGAAUCUUGGACAAUGGGCGCAAGCCUGAUCCAGCCAUGCCGCGUGAGUGAUGAAGGCCCUAGGGUCGUAAAGCUCUUUCGCCAGGGAUGAUAAUGACAGUACCUAGUAAAGAAACCCCCGGCUAACUCCGUGCCAGCAGCCGCGGUAAUACGGAGGGGGUUAGCGUUGUUCGGAAUUACUGGGCGUAAAGCGCGCGUAGGCGGACUGGAAAGUUGGGGUGAAAUCCCCGGGGCUCAAACCCGGAACUGCCUCCAAAACUCCCAGUCUUGAGUUCGAGAGAGGUGAGUGGAAUUCCGAGUGUAGAGGUGAAAUUCGUAGAUAUUCGGAGGAACACCAGUGGCGAAGGCGGCUCACUGGCUCGAUACUGACGCUGAGGUGCGAAAGUGUGGGGAGCAAACAGGAUUAGAUACCCUGGUAG